rnacentral:rRNA from 1 species
AUGGAGAAGCGGUUCUUGGGCCUGGAGCUGCACCACGUGCCCCGUGGCACAAACAAGGAAGCUGACGAAAUUGCCAAAAGGGCGUCAAGGCGCCAGUCCCAGGAGCCAGGUGUCUUCGAGGAACGGCUCUUCAAGCCCUCAGCGGCCCCUCCCGCUGCGGAGCCUGCACCACCUCAGGAGGGGCUCCCCCCCCCCCCACCACCAGCCUCGAGAGCCCCCGCCUGCGGUCCGACCUUAGGAGCAUGCUUGCUCCUGGCGCUUGAGCCCCAGGAGGGGUGCUGGACCGAGGAGUUCAGGGCAUACCUGACGCAAGGAACACUGCCGGAGAAGAAGGACGCUGAGCGCGUGGCCCGGCAAGUUACAGCGUACUGCAUUCAGGAUGGUGAGCUGUAUCGAAAACGGCCGAAUGAUGUUUCUUUUCGAUGUGUCUCCAGGGAGCAAGGGUGCGAGCUGUUAGCUGACAUACACGGUGGGGACUGCGGGCAUCACUCGUCGUCGCGCACCCUGGUGGGCAAGGCAUUCCGCAGCGGUUUCUACUGGCCCACGGCACUCAACGACGCAACUGAGCUGGUAAGAUCCUGCGAGGCCUGCCAGUUCCAUGCCAAGCAAAUCCACCAGCCUGCUCAGGGCCUCCAGACUAUCCCACUCUCGUGGCCCUUCGCGGUCUGGGGGCUGGAUAUCCUGGGCCCGUUCCCUCGAGCACCCGGGGGCUACCGCUACCUCUACGUCGCCAUCGACAAGUUCACCAAGUGGGCGGAGGUGGAAGCAGUCCGCACCAUCCCAGUCGGCUCCGCAGUCAAGUUCAGCAAGGGCCUAGUGAGCCGUUUUGGAGUCCCUAAUCGCAUCAUCACCGGCAACGGCUCGCAGUUCACUAGCAAUCUCUUCAGAACAUACUGUGCUAACCUUGGAACGCAGAUAUGCUACGCCUCAGUGGCACACCCCAGGAGCAACGACCAAGCUGAACGCACCAACGCGGAGGUCCUGAGAGGCCUCAAGACGAGAACCUCCAAGAAGAAGCUCGAGGCCUGCGGCAGGGGCUGGUACGACGAGCUCCAGUCCGUGUUGUGGUCCAUCCGCACCACCGCCACCAAGCCAAGGGGCGAGACUCCAUUCUUCCUCGUCUAUGGAGCCGAAGCGGUUCUCCCUCACGAGGUCAAACAUCGCUCCGCACGGGUCUUGGCGUUUGACGAGGCACGCCAGGACGCCACGCGGGGGAUGGACCUCGUGCUGGGGGAGGAACGCCGCCGCCAAGCCUCGCUCCGAGCGGCAAGGUGCCAGCAGGCGCUGCGGUGGUACCACUGCCGCAGCGUCCGCUCCAGGACACUCGAAGUGGGCGAUCUCGUCCUAAGGCGGGUGCUCUCCAAGGAAGGGCUGCAUAAGCUCUCACCCAUGUGGGAGGGCCCGUUUAGGAUUGCCCGCGUCUCUAGGCCUGGCGCCGCGCGCCUGGAGACGCAGGACGGGGUCCCCAUCUAG